rnacentral:lncRNA from 1 species
CGAAGUGUCCACCGUGGAUAACAAGCGGGGCGGGCGGCCGGGGCCAGAGGGACCCAACCCGGGACUCAGAGCCCAUAUAAUGUUGUGAGCGAGUGAGUGAGUGGUUGUUAUAUUGGCGCUCCUCUGAGGGCGGCAAAGGCGUCUUGGUCCAGAGUUGAAUACGGCCAAUCCGCGACCCCAAAGACCUUACCUGAGUUGUUAGUCGUGUGUUAGGGUUUAUCUUGUGGCGAAAUUUGGCGCAAAUAGGGUUUGAUAUGCCUUAUGACACUACCCGCAACUUAACGGUACGGCAUCGUAACAAAGCCGUACAACUUUGACGAAAGUGCCCGACAACAGAAGCUGACGGUAGCUGGCAACACGACGUACUGCAUACCGCAUCAGCGACGCUGCAGCUGGCUGUAACCGCGACUACGGAGACAACGGGACUACGAAGCUGCAGUAAAUCAUCCCCUAGCUACCUAGCUCUGACAGCGCAGGGACGGACAUACAUACAUACAGGCAGGCAGUCCAGGAUAUUUGC